rnacentral:pre_miRNA from 12 species
ACUACUGUGCACUGAUUUCUUGGGGCCCAAUUCUGCUCUUAUUGAAAUCAGUGAGAGUCCUGCCAUUGACUUAAAUGGGAGCAGAAUUGGGACCUAAGAGGACAUAUCCAGUUCUGGG